CCCCCAGGGAGCAGCCCCCGGGGCACCUACAGCCGCCCAGCCGCCCAUGCAGGACCCGGAGGCCGCUUGCCAUCCAUCUGUGAGCCCGUCCCCAGCACGACGCUGACCACCCCGCUCCCCAUCCACCUCAGAAACUGUUUGGUCGUGGGUCAGCGAGCUACAAGCCACGCGGCGGAAGGGUCCUCAUGCUCAGCUGAACCCUUCCCACCCCGCGCGGCCCCUCCUUGGUUCCCAAGUCCCAUCACCGUUGCUCUGAGUGAGGGUAGCCUUGACGCUGCAUUUAUAGCUGAGGAAGUGGCCCAGAGCACGGAGGCCCCCGCCCAAGUGCAUCCUGGUGGGCUGAGUCCACAGGGCCGUGUCUCCUGGGGUCUGGAGGGAGCCCCUGAGCCUCCCCAACCCCAGGUGUGGGACGACAUCAGGACCCACCUGGUCUUAGGUCAGACUCCCUGGAAGCAGAGCCGGGGGCGGGAAUCAGGGUGUGUGAGGAGCAGAGGGCGAGGGGAGCGUGAGGGAGGGGCCGAGCUGAGCUGGGUACGGCUCAGGGAACCUCGCCUUGACCCCGGCGGGCUGCCGGGCCGUGGGACCACCCAUCCCAGCACUGAGCUGUCCCCGCUGGAGGAAGAGGGGGCAUCAGGCUUCGGAACGAGCUCCCGUACCAGCCCGUCGUUGGCUCCCGGCCGCCCCGGGGGCAGGUUGGUGACUCCUAGUCAACCGGGGUCAGUCUUGGGGGGAGGGCAGCCUCAAGCCAGGAGCACCCUAUAUUCACAGCAGCUGGGGAAGGCAUGUCCAUUUAAAGGGCAUCCACUGACCACAGUAAAUAAGGGAGGCCCCCUCCAAUGCAGACCAGAGCCGUGACCGCCCAGCCCCAGAACCAGUUCGGACCCUGAGGGCCCCACAUGACUCAGGCCAGCCAAGAGUCCAGAGUCCCCACUCCGGUCCCCAGCGCUCCACGGGGCGGGGUGGGGGGGAGCCCAGAACCCGACCAUCCGAGGAGCCCUCUUUGUGGGUGCUGUUCCCAGAGGCCCAGGUCCUGAUCCCGAGCACCAUCCGGGCAGCUGGAGGCCGCAGGGGACCCCGAGGAUUCCCCCAGGAGUUGGGCUCUGGCGCUUCCAUCCCCAGUAACCGCCCCCCAUGCUCUCAGGUCGCCCCCACCCCCAGCCCCACCCUCACG
rnacentral:lncRNA from 1 species